AGCAGAUUUGCAUGAAGAGCCUCCCCUCCUGUGAUAAGCCAGCCCCGCAGGUCCCUCCCCAGCUGUGGGUCAGAGGCAGAGCUCCGGGUGUCACCAUGGCCUGGACCCCUCUCCUACUCCCCCUCCUCACGCUCUGCACAGGUUCUGUGGCCUCUCAGCCGAAUCAGGUGCCUGCAGUGUCUGUGGCCUUGGGACAGACGGCCAGCAUCACCUGCCAGGGAGAUGGCUUAAGGAGCUACUAUCCCGGUUGGUACCAGCAGAAGCCCGGCCAGGCUCCUGUGCUGGUCUUCUAUGGUAACAAUAAGCGGCCCUCAGGGAUCCCUGAGCGAUUCUCUGGCUCCAAAUCGGGGAACACGGCCAUGCUGACCAUCAGCGGGGCCCAGGCUGACGAUGAGGCUGAUUAUUACUGUCAGACAUGGGACAGCACUGGUACUCAUGCCACAGUGACACACGCAGAUGGGGAAGUUCAGGAGAGCAUGGGGAAGCCCAUGGCAGUGGGCACCGUGGUGGCCACGAGGAUCCCCUUCGGGCUCAUCCACCCACCCAUCCACCCGCACAGUGGGCUGGAGCCCUGGUGUAUCCCAGCUGCUCCCCCACUGGAAAAUGCCAUGAGCACAGGGCACUGCCCCUCCCAAUUGCACCCCUUCCUAGUGUGA